rnacentral:rRNA from 1 species
GUCCAGACUCCUACGGGAGGCAGCAGUGGGGGAUAUUGCACAAUGGGGGGAACCCUGAUGCAGCGACGCCGCGUGGGUGAAGAAGCGCCUCGGCGCGUAAAGCCCUGUCAGCAGGGAAGAAAAUGACGGUACCUGAAGAAGAGGCCCCGGCUAACUACGUGCCAGCAGCCGCGGUAAUACGUAGGGGGCAAGCGUUAUCCGGAUUUACUGGGUGUAAAGGGGGCGCAGACGGCGAUGCAAGCCAGGAGUGAAAGCCCGGGGCCCAACCCCGGGACUGCAUUGGAAACUGGCAGGCUGGAGUGUCGGAGAGGCAGGCGGAAUUCCUAGUGUAGCGGUGAAACGCGUAGAUAUUAGGAGGAACACCAGUGGCGAAGGCGGCCUGCUGGACGAUGACUGACGCUGAGGCUCGAAAGCGUGGGGAGCAAACAGGAUUAGAUACCCCUGUAU